GUGGGGAAUAUUGGACAAUGGGCGCAAGCCUGAUCCAGCCAUGCCGCGUGAGUGAUGAAGGCCUUAGGGUUGUAAAGCUCUUUCACCGAUGAAGAUAAUGACGGUAGUCGGAGAAGAAGCCCCGGCUAACUUCGUGCCAGCAGCCGCGGUAAUACGAAGGGGGCUAGCGUUGUUCGGAUUUACUGGGCGUAAAGCGCACGUAGGCGGUUUGUUAAGUCAGAGGUGAAAUCCCGGAGCUCAACUCCGGAACUGCCUUUAAUACUGCCAGUCUAGAGUCCAGAAGAGGUGAGUGGAACUCCUAGUGUAGAGGUGGAAUUCGUAGAUAUUAGGAAGAACACCAGUGGCGAAGGCGGCUCACUGGUCUGGUACUGACGCUGAGGUGCGAAAGCGUGGGGAGCAAACAGGAUUAGAUACCCGAGUAGUCC
rnacentral:rRNA from 1 species